CCGGAUUGACUCUCGCUUCUAGCAUCCUGCCAACACACCCCCCAAGGCAGCCGUUGACAGCGCGGAUGGUUGGAUUUCCGCCACCCACAUGGGACACAUGGAUGGAGCACUGGGCUCCUGGCUUUAGCCUGGCCCAGCCUGGCCCAGCUGCAGCUGUUGUGGCAUUUAAGCAGUAACCCAGUGAACGGGAGAUUGGUAUCUAUCUACACCUCCUUCCCUCCAUCCUUCUCUAUCUCUCAGCCUGUCAAAUAAACUAAAUAAACACAAAUAGUUUCUAAGCACCUCCUCACCCAAACAGGAGCCAUCCAUCUGUAAUCACCGUAAGAUUUGCUAACCAUCAGGAGAGGAACUCAUCAGACUGAUAUAGAAAAGAAUUCAGAUGCCAAGGAACCUCGGUCACAGGUUUCCCUUCCCCAUGUAACAGUAAGACAGAUGUGAAGGAGAGAGCUACAGAGGAGCCAGGAAGACAUGCAAGGGUGUUUGAAACCCCCCUUAUGUGGAAGCUAAAGUGGGGGGUUGCUUCAGCCCUUUUUUGGUAGGGAAUAUUGGUUUGUGUCCAUCACUGGUGCAGCAAUGACCCCGAUGUCUAAGGGGCAUGCCAGAAUACUGCAGCCUCCUCUGGUCACCAUGGCAACCAUCAAUCACACCAUCUGAGUCACCUCCAUGGAGGUGAGGCUCCCUGGCUGUGCAUGUCUACCCGCAGUUGGAUGAACAAUGCCCAAGGUGAUUUGAAUCUUGAUAACAGUGACUCAAAAACCACAAAUAAAUGGCAUCAUGCUGAGUCACUAGCAGGACACAAUGUGCUAGCAGGAAAGAGAGCAGCGGGCCUGAUCAGAGGUGGGAACGAGGCCAGGCACAACCUGACCAAACAUAACAUACAGAGCCACACCUCAGCCCCAGUGGCACUGUGUGGCACCUGUCACCCCACAGGAGGCCCUUGCUUUAACAAUGUAAAUAUUUCUACAUCUUGUUUUUGUAGAAGCUCAACUAGUGAGGGAUUAUUCCUUUGCAAAUUAACUCAUUUUACCAGUCUUAAGCAAAAAGGGCCUGUGCUAGUUAUCACCAUUCGUCUUAAAUUUCAACUUAAUCUACAUUAUGAGAACGUAUCUGUUAGCUAAGAUAGAUGCAUGUAAGAAAAGGUAGCUAA